rnacentral:hammerhead_ribozyme from 1 species
UUUCAGCUGACGAGUCUGGAAUGGGACGAAACACUCGUCCUGGAU